rnacentral:rRNA from 1 species
AAACCAGAUAUGACUUAGUGGCGGACGGGUGAGUAACACGUGAGCAACCUGCCUUUCAGAGGGGGACAACAGUUGGAAACGACUGCUAAUACCGCAUGACACAUUGAGGUCGCAUGGCCUUGAUGUCAAAGAUUUAUCGCUGAAAGAUGGCCUCGCGUCUGAUUAGCUAGUUGGUGAGGUAACGGCCUACCAAGUCGACGAUCAGUAGCCGGACUGAGAGGUUGAACGGCCACAUUGGGACUGAGACACGGCCCAAACUCC